rnacentral:misc_RNA from 1 species
UUGAAUAUUCUUGAUGGGUUGUAGCUGGCUCUUUGGAGCAUGUGCACGCCUGUCUUGAUUUAAUUCAUCCACCUGUGCACCUUUUGUAGUCUUGGGGGUUAAGCAGUCAACUAUCGGAUGUCAUCCGGAUGUGAGGAAUGCUGAGUGCGAAAGCAUACAGCUUUUCUCAAACUGACUUGUGGUCCCUCAAGUAUUAUGUAUUCAUAUACCACUAGUAUGUUGCAGAAUGUGAUCAAUGGGCUUAUGCCUAUAAUAAUCAUAUA